GGCAUAGUAAAAUUGAUUCUGGGUCAAAGACUCAAUGAUUCAUGGAUUGUUUUGCAGAUUCCUUAAUUUAUUAGACUAAACAUAUUACCCGUGUCUUUUUAUUUCAUUGCAGAUUGACCAGCCGGGUGCACAGGAGCUCCAGGACAAUGAGAUUGACCAGCCGGGUGCACAGGAGCUCCAGGACAACGAGGUUGACCAACUGGACACCCAGGAACUCCAGCACAAUUAGGUUUUAAAACUCUCUGUGAAGGAGAGUCUAGGAUCCAAAUGCAGAUGCUUUAAUUCAAGCCUACAUUGUGUAGUAGAGUUUGCAAGUGUCUUUCC